GUUUGUGAUCUGCUACCAUUCUAUCCAGGUCAGCUUCUACGGGUGUGUGAAUUGCAUUGCCGAUACUAUGUGUACGUGGGUGCAAUGAGGUUGUUUGACGAAAUGUGUGAUAGCUGACAUAUACGUCACCAAUUGAUGGCUAAUUAUUCCCACGGUUGCAUUGUUUUUGUUGCAGCAAAGGCUCAAAUAGAUCUGCAUGCCCUCAACUAGGAGGGAUCAAUGCCUACAUAUAUGCGUUACCUUCUCCGGUUCCACAGCAGGUCAUCUCUUUCACAUUUUUGUUUUGUGUCUUGUCUGCCAGUGCCGGUCAAUCUCCAGUACUGUAAGAUGGUUUUCUGAUUAGCUAAUUUGCUCUUCAGUUUUCUCAAUAUGCAUAAUAAUAUAUGGAUUUUUGAUAGAUAGAGAAUUAUAAAACAAAUUGAAAUUAUACAAUUUUAUUGUAUUGUAUUCUAAUGUGAGAGUAUAUUUGAACGCUACAAAAUCAAGCUUUAUAGAGUUGGUAGACUGCCUGCUAAAUGCUCAAUGAAAUGUGUUAGCUAUCUAACAAGCUAAGAAUCGGAAAUAAAUUUGAGGUAGCUACAUGCAAAACAGUAUGGACGUUGCCCAAUAUCUAUAGUACAGGUGGAAUGGAUUGCCCUUGGGGAUCAAUCUAUUUCUAAUUAAUUGUAGUAAUCAAAUGGUUGAAUUGUUUGUCGAUUGAUAACAGUCGAACUUUAUGGUGGUGGAGCAGUCCUCCAUUGUCUGGAAUAUACUACUCCCUCCGUCCAACAAAGGAUGUCUCAACUUUGACUAAAUUUGAAUGCAUUUAUACACUAAGUCAUGUCUAGAUACAUCCAAAUUUUGACAAACUUAAGACAUCCUUUGUUGGACGGAGGGAAUAUUAUAGUUAACAUCACAUAUUUUGCAUCGUUUGUUUCAAGUUUAACUAAUUGGAACCACAAAAAGUGAAAAUGAGUAAGGUAUGCGGGUAUUACUUUGAUAUCUGUUUUACAAGGGAUAUUUUCUGUUCUUGCUAAGAGAUUUUUACCAAUUGCGGUUCUUAUCUGCAUUUGUGGAGAUAGAAGAGCAAGCUGACUACGCCAGCUCCGGUGAUAUUCUGUUAGAGAAGCAUAUGUGCAACUUCCAUUGAUCAGAGACUCUUCUGCCUAUGUUUUUGCCUAUGAGACUCCCUUUGUAAACACUAUACUACUCAGUAUAUAUUGUUUGUCACGGUUUACCAACUGAUCAUACUAAGCAUAGCGGCACAUUCUUUGGGACACAAUGAAUAUGUACAACAAGGAAAAGAACCAGUGACCCUAAAGUAGACUAGAGAAGUUGUCCAGUUGAUUGAGAAACACAUAUGUUAAAAUUUUGAUGGUUCAUGUUUUAAAGUGAAGAAAUCAUUCCUAAAAAAAAACAAGUGAAGAAAUCAUGAUUUUGUAACUUUCACCUGAGAGAGAGUUGAUGAAAUAGAGCAAAAAUCAUAUGCAUAGCUGAUAUUCAACAAAGUACAUGUAGAUGUCACCAAUUUCUAUAUAGGUACUCCCUCCGUCUCAUUAAGUGACUCAAAUUUGUCCAAAUAUAGAUGUAUCUAUGCCUAAAAAGCAUCUAGAUAUAUGUAAUAGAAAGUCACUUAAUGUGGGACGGAGGGAGUACAAUUUUGCCUGAACUGUAGCUUGUACAAUUAGUGGACUUUUAGCCAUGCACAUUCACGCAACUCUCUUUCCUUAGGUAGUAAGGAACGGGGUCAGAGCAAGUUACUCCCUCCGAUCCAUAUUAAUUGUUUCAAAUUUAUCAAAAUAUAAAUGUAUCUAUGCCUAAAAAGCGUCUAGAGACAUGUAAUAUUUCGACAAUUAAUAUGGAUCGGAGGGAGUACAUGUUUUAAAACAGUGUGGUAAGAGCAUACUGAACUGGGGAUCUAACAUGCAAGAUGGAUACCCUUUUAAAAAAACAAAAGGAAUUACGCAUUGAUAACUUCUAGGCAUGUAAGCACUUCGGUUUUGCUUUGUGUUUGACAAUCUACCAUGAGCAAUGUUACAUGCAGAACUUGGGAGCUGCUGUAUCUGUAUUCAACUGCCUUCCAUGCUAUCUAAUCAUCCCAACUCUAUGUCGAGCUGACAACAUUGAUAGACCACAUGGUGCAAGGAGCAAUCUGGGGUUUCUCCAGAGGAGAUUUACAAUGUCAGAAGCAGUUGAGUCAACCCGGCAUCGAAUGGGCUUAUUGGUUCAAGCUAUACUGGACCAGUUGAACGACGAUCAUAAUAUUCUGGAGGAUCUUGCAUAUAAACUCACUAUUUCUUUGAGGGUCGUAUGUACAAUCACUCGAAUUUUACUACAAAGACUGAAGGAGCUGAUGACAUUGCCAGUCUAUUCUUUGCUGAAGUCACAUUUUUGAAAGAAGGAGAGCGCCAACAAUAUGUUAAUGCAUGGUUGACCCUAAUGAUAAUGGUAGAGGCUGAGGAGGCUAGGAUAAGAAGCAUUUGUGGCUGAUAAAGUUGGUUAUUCUUUUCUUGCGUAUUAUCUGUAGGACCGUGAUGAAGAAGCACGUCUCGUGGUCGAACUCGGUCUCCUUACGGACUCUCCGUGUGCAGCACCCGUGGAAACUGUUGAGAAUAAUUAGUUAUAAUUAAUUAUUAUUUAA